UCUCUGUUUCAACGUGGAUACUUGUGUCUUUCCAUGGAUAUGAUCCUCUCUUCUAAUCAACUAUAACAGGUUGCUGGUGGAAAUUCUUUUGGUGUGUCUGAGGACGUGGGAUUUGUUGGUGAGGAGAGAAGGGAAGCUAUAGAGAAUAAGUCUGUUGGUGUGUCUGAGCACGUUGAUGUUGUUGAAUGCGAGGACAGAAGAGAAGAAGUAAUUGAAAAGUCUGUUGAUGUCUCCGGGGACAAUGUUGAGACUGAGGUUUUAGAGGAUAAGUCUGUUUCUGGGGACCAUGAACCCAAAGAGGGUGACGAGAGUAGUGGUGAUAGUGAAGGAAGGUCUGAAGACGAGGAUCACCAAGAUGAAGCUAUGGACGAGGCAAACAAAGCAUGGCCGCCAGAGCUUUUUAAAUCCUCAAGAGGUGCUGAUGAACAACUGGUUGACGAUCAAGAGGGAAAUGCUACUGGUGGUGUGGCAAUUUCAGAAAAAAGUCCCU